GCGCUCGGCGCCGUAGGGGCCCUGCUCGCCGUAGCUGUCCAUCUGGGCCUCGAUGAAGUCCCUCUGCUGCUGCCUGAUGGUCUGGCCGAUGAGCCCGGGCAGGGCGUGGAUGCUCCCGAUCAGAGUCUCUAGUUUCGUUUCCAAGGAUUCACUGCAACCGCCUAGUCACACCAGGAUGUAGUGCUGCUCUCACGGAGAUGAAACUCUACUACAAGAGGAUUAGCAAAGUUAAGUAAGCUGGCACACGAGCGACUGAUGUUUGGAGACACCAGAGCAGAUGCCUCCAGCAAUGUGUGAACGCGGAAAAACAGUCCUAACUGCAAGUCUGGUGGGAGGGCCAAGGCUGGUCUCUUAGCCGGGGGGAGACAUUGUUUUCGAUGCAGGGCUGUUUUAGAAGUCUGCUUUCUGCGGGGCUGGUAAUCAUGCCUGUUACAGCAAUGACGUUCAUGGGAUUUCUUAGCUCAAGUUCAUGUUGAUGGAUGGGCCCAGAGUUGAGAUAAAAGAAUGAUUUCAAGGUCAAGGUGCUACUCGAGAAAGAUUUAAAGUUACAGAAACAGAAUGCCUCACAGCGAUAAGUGACAAUCCAGAGAGACAGACAGUUUACCGAAAAGAGGAUAGAAGCCAGGAGAACUCGGCACCCAUCGGGACCAGAAAGGCCAUGUGUUGGGUCGAGAAGCUGUGAAGCUUGAAAAGGAGUAAAGAGUUGAGCGAGAGGGAGGCUGCAAGAAGGGGAGAGAGUGUUACUGGAAAAGCUCUUGGGUGCACUACACCAGAGAACAGGAGAGGCCAGGAGAGCUCUCUAGCAAAUGAGUCAGUGAAUUUAUCAAUUUUUCCUCAGCUCACAAGAUCGGAUUUCCCCCAGUGCUGACAGCAAGGCUGGGAGGCACUGGGUGUGCCAGGUGGGCAGUGAAGGCUUUGCCCUUAGGAAUCGAGCCCUAUGUGCUUCCCCUUUAUGAUGCCACUCACCCAGUUACAUUGCAAGGUCAUAAUGCCCCCUUAGGACAACCUCUCCCUGCCCAGCCCACUGACACUCUCUGGGCUUCACAAGUGCCAGUCCCCUCCCCCCUCAGCACCCCCGAGAUGAAGUCCCAAAACAAUUCAGAACAUUUUGGAGUUGCUUGAAGCUCCCCUACUCUAGGAGCACUCAGUGCGACACACAGAACACAGAGAGAAAUGCCUGAGAGAAACAGAAAAAUCACGCACGGUUCCCACCAUCACUGUCCCCCCAAGCAGGCGGUGCUGAAGCGCGUGUCACCGACACGGAGGGGCCUGGCAGAGGCAGCCUGCUGUGCGGCAGCAGUCUGCCCGAGCCUUUGUCUCCCGCACGUUUUACCAUACGCUUUCUCAGACUACAGCAAAACCGAGAGACUCUUCAGGUGAACAUGACUACACUGCUCCCCAAUUUUUACAGUGUUCGUGCAUUCUGAACUUGAGCGUUCUAGGACGGCAGACAGAAACACACCCAGCACUUACACAAGGCUACCGAAUUCUGUGACAAAAACCAGAAAAGCUUUUUGUCUUUUGUAAUUUUUGGUGACAUCAAAAUGCAUCGAAGGCAUCCAAGGCACACGCCACUGAACGGGUCACACUGACAGAGACCGGCCUCGCUCACACCUCCCGGCCCUGGACACGGGCGUGCCUUCUCACACACUAUAGGGAAGCGGUGGAGAGCAGGGGUGCAGAGAUCCUGCCCGGCACCACGAGAACGUACUUACGGAUUUCAUGUAUGGAGUGCCUACACCGCCAAAGAACGUCUUCUGGGAACCAACAAGACACUGCCUCCAUUUUUCUCCCUGAUGCAAGAAUAGCCCAGCGGAAGCAUUCAACCCGAGAGGCACCAAAGCAGGCUUUGUAUUUUUGUAAAUUAGCCAUGUCUCCCUGAGUACAUUGGCAGCUGCGUUUUUCACCUGUGAGGAAAACAAACAAACAAAAGGAAGCAGUUGAUAAACUUCAGAGGAGAAAUCCCGCGGAGCCUGGCUUGGGAUCACUUUCCUCAUCUCGGCGGUGCCAGGGGAGCGCCAGGAACUGAAGGGAAAAGAGUGGACACGCUAGCUGCAGAGCACCACGGUGCCGAAGAGGGACUUCACGCUGACCUCGGGAGAGGCCCACGGCGUGCCAGCAAAUCUGUGCUCUUCGUCCUUAGAGAAACACAUCUGCCUUCCUCGCGGAGGUUGGACCAGCUUGGCAAAGGCUCCAGGGCCUUUGCCCCACAGCACCAAGUGCUGCCCCUGCAGAGACCCACGUCUACAUCCAACCUCUACAGAUAGCGGCUUUCUUCAGACCAGCACUCGGGCUUCAACCCCCGUCAUCUCUGCAUUAGAAGUUACAGUGGAAACCAUCGUGCCCAAGUGGAGAACCACAUCACACUGCUCCUCUUGAGGGGGGUGGAGAAGACUUACUCUCUUCGUCAGCUGAGUGUCCAUCAUGAAGUUGUGCACAUGCUUUUCUGCUUUGGUCUUCAGGCCCCUCGAAUGGGAUGCACCAGCCAUGAGCAUGCACACACACACCAUCUACUCACACGCUCAGCCUCAGAGUGUUCCAGAUGCCGGUGGAAAUGGUCAGAGGGCCCCAACCCUGCACCAAGGACUCAGUGCUGAAGGGCAGGAGAUGACCCUACCCUGCUGGAGCUCUACGGCCACGCUGUGCAGCCGUGUGACCCUGCGUGGGGCCUGCUGAGGGGCCAGACCAGUGAUGACACGGAGGCUGAGGAGUUCGCCUGCCCCAAGUUCGGCCCACCCACGCAGAACCUUGCAUGUGAUGGUCCAUGUCACACACAUCUCCCCCCGAGGCAUGCCGUCCUGGGCAGUGCACCCCAUCAUCAGUGUGUGAUUAUCUGUAUUGAACAUGGACUUCUAAAGUAUUUAAAGAGGCAAAUAUUCUACUUACAUUUCUUAAAAACAGGAUCCAAACUGGGGAAUGGAAAGAAAUACUUUUUAAAGCCAACUGUGGAAAAAAAAGUUAACAAUUUGUGCUUUAAGAAAAACACCUAACCUUUCUUACCAUUUUUGACCUUAAAAAUUCAAGCUAGGAAAAGGCUUUUCUAUGUGUGCCAUACUUUGCUCCGUUAUAGACUUAAUGGGUGAAUCAUGUUUAUUUGAAUUAAUAAAUGAUUUAGCCAUGCAAUGAUGGCCCAACGAAUGAA